rnacentral:rRNA from 1 species
AGUGAACGCUGGCGGCGUGCCUAAUACAUGCAAGUCGAACGGAGUGGCGCACGGGGGAGUAAUAUAUAGCUAAUCUGCCCCUUGCUGGAGGACAACCGUUAGAAAUGACUGCUAAUACUCCAUAGCAAGGGAUGAGACUAUAUCGUAUCAGCUAGUCGGUGGGGUAACGGCCUACCGAGGCGAUGACGGGUAACUGGUCUGAGAGGAUGAGCAGUCACAUUGUAACUGAGACACCGGUCAGACGCCGACCGGAGGGGGCAGUAGGGAAUCGUGCGCAAUGGGCGUAACCCUGAAGCAGCAACGGCGCGUGGAGUAUGACAAUUGUCGGAGCGUAAACGCCUUUUGUUAGGGAAGCGGUACCUAACGAAUAAGCACCGGCUAACUCCGUGCCAGCCGCCGCGGUAAUUC